GAGAGACAGAGAGAGAGAGAGAGAGAGAGAGAGAGGGGGGAGAGAGAGACAGAGAGAGAGAGGUUAUAGAAGUGAAUCUCAUUCUGGUUCAGUGAGAGAUACAGGCAGGCUUCUCUCUCACACAAACAGCAACUGCCACCAGUUGGUCUCUCUAUAGCCUACAAUGUUGCAUAGAACAUAAACCCGCAAAUCAUAAACCCGCAAAACAUAAACCCGCAAAACAUAAACCCGCAAAACAUAAACCCGGGCUGGCCCAAUUCCAAUCAACUCUCAGAACAUCAGGCACUAUGUGUUUAAUUAAAGGGGACAGUUGAAUUACAGAUGAGGUAACUGAAAUGAUCUCGGAUCGCUUUCAUUUCAAUGUUUACAUUUCAAACAAUAAAAAGUAUGAAUGAAAUGAAUGUUCCAGAAUGAAACAGUCCCAAACUGAGAGGUGUCGAAUCCUGUUCACUGAGGUAAACAUAUCUGACUGAGAGGACAACACUGAGGUAAACAUAUCUGACUGAGAGGACAACACUGAGGUAAAUAUAUCUGACUGAGAGGACAACACUGAGGUAAAUAUAUCUGACUGAGAGGACAACACUGAGGUAAACAUAUCUGACUGAGAGGACAACACUGAGGUAAACAUAUCUGACUGAGAGGACAACACUGAGGUAAAUAUAUCUGAGAGGACACAAUCAGAAAGAUGUGUGUGUUUUGCUUUUCUCUAUCAGAGAACUCAGAGACAGAAGAGAAGGCUUUUUCCAUGGCGCCGGCCCAUUCCACUGUGGCCCUGGUAGAGACGGGGUGUGAGGGGAAGACGACCCGUGGAAUUUACCAGAACUACAGGACGGAGCGGCAGCAUGGUCAG
ensembl:lncRNA